rnacentral:tRNA from 1 species
AUUUAUAUAGUUUAAUUAAAACAUUAUUUUUUCAUUAUAAAAAUAGUUUAUAUACAUAACUUAUAAAUA